GGUGAGGAACACGUGAGAAACCUGUCCCGAACUCUGGGAUAACAGUUGGAAACGACUGCUAAUACCAGAUGCCGUCAUCGGAUCGCAUGAUCUGAUGACGAAAGUUUUUCGGUUCGGGAGGGUCUCGCGGCCUAUCAGCUUGUUGGUGGGGUAACGGCCUACCAAGGCAUCGACGGGUAGCUGGUCUGAGAGGAUGAUCAGCCACACUGGGACUGAGACACGGCCCAGACUCC
rnacentral:rRNA from 1 species